UAAUUAAAUCUAAAUAUAUUGUGUGUGUACACAAAUGCUCAAAUGUUUAUGAUUGGUAAGACUGUUUUCUAUGCUAAUAAAUUUAUUACAAAACAGUAUUUAUUUGACAUAGAAAUCUUUUAUAACAAUGUAAACAGCUUUACCACUUUUGAUCAAUUUAAUGCAUCAUUGCUGUAUAAAAGUAGUGAUUUCUUUUAAGAAAAUAAAACACAAAAAUAAAAAUUAUUACUGACCCCAAACUUUUGAAAAGCAGUAUGUAAAUACAGUAUGCAACAUUAACAAAAACAACAUGUAAACAACUGUAUGUUUUUAAGUAAAAUUGUUGAUUAUAGUUACCAAAAAAAAAAAAAAAAAAAACUCUGUUAACAAACAUUUUUGUCUUUCAGAACGCUACAGUGUCAUAUAUAGCUUGACUUGCCAAAAACAGGGUUGUCCCGGAGCUUGUUUUGGUGUGACAGCCGCAGUGGAACUCUGUACAGUACUCUCACACUCAGGAAUGUCGGAGGCCAGUUCACUCUGGGAGGAGGGCAGAAAGUCACACUCUCCAGGGGUCCUUCCAAGAAUAAUUUGGCCACGAGGUUAAGUUUCACUGCAGUGGAAUCACGGGAGGUUCGGGUCAAAGGGGUGUUUGAAGGGUAAUAAUCCAUUCAAGCCCACAUCACUCAUAUCUCACAUAUUUACAAACAACAAGGGUAUCUAAAGUGAAGGUGGCAACUCCGGGAAUACCUGAGCACUGAUAUGAAAUAGCACACCACGAGCGCUAUUCUUCUGGGGAAUGAAUACGAGCAGGCCGAGUUCACAAAGGGCCGGGGCUGGAAGAGAACAAACAGUAAGCUGCAAAAAGAGGCGCUUUUAUUAUAAUUGAGAAAUGAGCCUCGCCGUCUGGCCUUUACAGCUGGCCCGAGAUGACUUACACUUGCGCUGAGGUAAAAUGGUUUCAUUUUGCAUGUUUAAAUUGCCUCCAUUCUAAUCUGUUUUCAAAGCCUGUCCCUUUAGCCUAUCAGGUGAAAUAUUAAUUGUCUGAGGUGGAGUGUGUGCCUAUCAGGCUGAAAUCAGAGCCUGUAGUUACUCCCUUCUGAAACAACAAAGGCUACGGCUUUUUUGCCCAAGCAAUUGUUAGGGCAGUGUGACUGUAGGAAGUGACAUGGAAGAGAUUUAUGUGUUUAUAUGAGUUGUCAGAGAUGCAUCAUAAUAUCACAUGGAUGGUGCCGUUAAUUUGAUAUGUCAUUUGCAGAGGUCAGAUAUUUGAUAUCGUGCACACAGAUGAUUUAAAAGGUAUGCUGUAAACAUUCAACCAUAAAUAUCUGACCAAUCAUAAACACCUCAUUAGAGCAAGUCAUCAAGCCAGAAUACUAAAUUUGAAACUCUGCCAUUAUAUGACAUUAUUAAAAGCACAUGUGCAGAUUUAUACAACUGAGAACUUUUUUGAAAACCUGGUUAUUAUGGCUAUAAUUUGUAUAUUAAAGCAUAAUUAGUAUGCAAGAACCAGUGAACAGGCCACUUAACCAUUUUACACAAUUUAUGUUAUGAGGGUGGCUUGGAAAUAUGAUAAGUAUUACUCAUCAAAUUAUGUACACAAACUGUAAUUACAAGGCAUCAAAAAGCUAUUCAAUGAAUUUGGCAUAAUUGUUUCUUUUCUUUCUUUCUUUCUUUCUUUCUUUCUUUCUUUCUUUCUUUCUUUCUUUCUUUCUUUCUUUAUAUAUAUAUUGUUAUCACUUAAAUGAUUUUGUUAAUUGUUUCAGUAUUUGCAAUAUUACAAUGUUUCAAUAUAUAAUUUAUUUUAAAAAUAUAUCACAAUAUAUAUACAGUGUAGAAUACAUUUGUCAGUGGGUCUGUUAAUAUUUUAAAAGCUACGACUGAAGUUGUAUCCACCAUCUGUAACUGAAGUAAAUGGGCCAUCGUGACAUAAAAAUAACAUACUCCACAACACAUAAAUCACAACAAACUAACAAGACAAGCAAAGAUAUACUGUGAGAUUUUGCAUGUUAAAUGCAUGCGUGUCCCUGCAGAUUUGAACUCUACGCCACAACAGAUUUUAUCUCUGACAUUUGACAAGGUAAAGGACACCCGAGAUUAGUCUCUGGUGACCACGGGCAUC
ensembl:lncRNA